rnacentral:rRNA from 1 species
AUUGAACGCUGGCGGCAGGCCUAACACAUGCAAGUCGAGCGGAUGAAGGGAGCUUGCUUCUGGAUUCAGCGGCGGACGGGUGAGUAAUGCCUAGGAAUCUGCCUGGUAGUGGGGGAUAACGUCCGGAAACGGGCGCUAAUACUGCAUACGUCCUGCGGGAGCAAGUGGGGGAUCUUCGGACCUCACGCUAUCAGAUGAGCCUAGUUCGGAUUAGCUAGUUGGUGGGGUAAAGGCCUACCAAGGCGACGAUCCGUAACUGGUCUGAGAGGAUGAUCAGUCACCCGGGAGCUGGAACACGGUCCAGAGUCCUACGGGAGGCAGCAGUGGGGAAUGUUGGACAGUGGUCGAAAGCCUGGUCCAGCGGGGCCACGUGUGUGGAGAAGGUCUUCGGAUUGUAAAGCACGUUAAGUUGGGGGGAAGGGCAGUAAGUUAAUACGUUGCUGUUUUGACGUUACCAACAAAAUAAGCACCGGCUAACUUCGUG